rnacentral:ncRNA from 2 species
CUCUUAUCCAGAGAGGUGGAGGGACUGGCCCUUUGAAACCUCGGCAACCAUCGUUAUAAAGCGGAAUGGUGCCAAAUCCAGCAAAGCUGAUGCUUUGAAAGAUAAGAG